UUGAACGCUGGCGGCAGGCCUAACCCAUGCCAGUCGAGCGGAUGAAGGGAGCUUGCUCCUGGAUUCAGCAGCGGACGGGUGAGUAAUGCCUAGGAAUCUGCCUGGUAGUGGGGGAUAACGUCCGGAAACGGGCGCUAAUACCGCAUACGUCCUGAGGGAGAAAGUGGGGGAUCUUCGGACCUCACGCUAUCAGAUGAGCCUAGGUCGGAUUAGCUAGUUGGUGGGGUAAAGGCCUACCAAGGCGACGAUCCGUAACUGGUCUGAGAGGAUGAUCAGUCACACUGGAACUGAGACACGGUCCAGACUCCUACGGGAGGCAGCAGUGGGGAAUAUUGGACAAUGGGCGAAAGCCUGAUCCAGCCAUGCCGCGUGUGUGAAGAAGGUCUUCGGAUUGUAAAGCACUUUAAGUUGGGAGGAAGGGCAGUAAGUUAAUACCUUGCUGUUUUGACGUUACCAACAGAAUAAGCACCGGCUAACUUCGUG
rnacentral:rRNA from 1 species